UAGGGAAUCUUCGGCAAUGGACGGAAGUCUGACCGAGCAACGCCGCGUGAGUGAAGAAGGUUUUCGGAUCGUAAAGCUCUGUUGUUAGAGAAGAACGUUGGUAGGAGUGGAAAAUCUACCAAGUGACGGUAACUAACCAGAAAGGGACGGCUAACUACGUGCCAGCAGCCGCGGUAAUACGUAGGUCCCGAGCGUUGUCCGGAUUUAUUGGGCGUAAAGCGAGCGCAGGCGGUUCUUUAAGUCUGAAGUUAAAGGCAGUGGCUUAACCACUGUACGCUUUGGAAACUGGAGGACUUGAGUGCAGAAGGGGAGAGUGGAAUUCCAUGUGUAGCGGUGAAAUGCGUAGAUAUAUGGAGGAACACCGGUGGCGAAAGCGGCUCUCUGGUCUGUAACUGACGCUGAGGCUCGAAAGCGUGGGGAGCAAACAGG
rnacentral:rRNA from 1 species